rnacentral:rRNA from 1 species
GACAGAGGUUGCAAACGUUGUUCGGAAUCACUGGGCAUAAAGCGCACGUAGGCGGUCUGUUAAGUCAGGUGUGAAAGCCCCCGGCUCAACCGGGGAACAGCAUCUGAUACUGGCAGACUCGAGGAUGGUAGGGGUGAGUGGAAUUCCCAGUGUAGAGGUGAAAUUCGUAGAUAUUGGGAAGAACACCAGUGGCGAAGGCGGCUAACUGGUCCAGAUCUGACGCUGAGACGCGAAAGCGUGGGUAGCAAACAGG